rnacentral:rRNA from 1 species
UAACAAGGAUUCCCCUAGUAACUGCGAGUGAAGCGGGAUGAGCUCAAAUUUAAAAUCUGGCGUCUUCGACGUCCGAGUUGUAAUUUAGAGAAGCGUUUUCCGCGCCGGACCGUGUACAAGUCUCCUGGAACGGAGCGUCAUAGAGGGUGAGAAUCCCGUCUUUGACACGGACCCCCGGUGCUCUGUGAUACGCUCUCGAAGAGUCGAGUUGUUUGGGAAUGCAGCUCAAAAUGGGUGGUGAACUCCAUCUAAAGCUAAAUAUUGGCGAGAGACCGAUAGCGAACAAGUACCGUGAGGGAAAGAUGAAAAGCACUUUGGAAAGAGAGUGAAACAGUACGUGAAAUUGUUGAAAGGGAAACGCUUGAAGUCAGUCGCGUCUGUCAGGGUUCAGCCUCACGGUGUACUCUCUGGUAGACGGGCCAGCAUCACUUUCGAUCGUCGGACAAGGGAGUUGGGAAUGUGGCACCUUCGGGUGUGUUAUAGCCCUUCUUCGUAUACGGCGACCGGGAGUGAGGACCGCCUUUGUAGGAUGCUGGCGUAA